UUUCAAAUAUGGUUGGAGAUG
rnacentral:miRNA from 1 species